UGCUGCUGUGCUGUGAGAGGGAGAGUUGAAGCUGAUGCACAUGCAGGGCAGCCAGUGAGAGUAAACUCUGCUGUAGUGUGUGAGGAAUAGAAGAGUUUCCUUUUGAACUAAAGAUAAUCUGCAGGACAGACACAUGUCCAGUGUGAAAGGUGGCGACACAGGAUUUUCCCGGAACCAAAGUGUGGAGGGACGUCCUAGAAUGGAACCAAACUGACUAGCUGAGAAAGGAACCUCAGAGAGAAAAGUAAGAGUACAGUAGCUGCCCACUUGACAGAGAGCAACAAACAAAUAAGCCAGCACUCCCUAUGGGGCUGUUGCUGGAGUUCCCAGUGGCUGCAAGUCUCCAAGCCAAGUCCCACAAUGGUUCCUGGCUGGCCUCCUAACGCAUUUCACUGUCUUUUGGAAGCUUUAUCCUACAUCAACCGCGGAAUGGACUGGUGUUAGAGGAAAGUGGUAGUGGACACAGACUCCAGUUUUCGUUAUCUAAUAAAUGAGCUGUAUGUCUUUUUUGGAAAGGAAGCAAUGACAAGGGCUGACUGAUGGCCUCCACUACUGUGGGUUUUCAGGGCUUAAUGGACAAACCCUUUACCACUGUUCCAGUGAGCUAGAGUGGAUGGGUGCAGUUACUGAGAGAGGUUACAUGCAUGCAGAUACAAAGAGGUAUCAGCAUAAAGAAACAAAAUGUUGAUCAGUUAGUGAAUAACAAGACAUAGUGAUCUGUAGUUAGUACUUUUUAAUUUGUAAGCAGAUGUUAAUGUUUUUUUAGAUUUGUUUACAUUGCACCAGACACGACAACAACAACAACACACCAUACAUUAUUUGUUACAGAAAUAGUUACUUGUAGAUGCUUCAUUUUUGUGUGUUUCAUUUUUAUAUUGGAAUCUAGCAUCUAUAUUUUUUCUUUUGUUAUCAGACGGUGACUACAGAGUUUUUCAGGGAUUUUAAAAAUGAAUGACUGUUGUGAUAGCUACAAUCAGGGGCGGAUUGGGAACAAAAAGCGGCCCUGGAAAAAAAAUUUGUACUAGUGGCCCCACAUGGGCAGCACCAGAGGUGUAAGGUCUAGCCAUGGGCCAUGGCAGCAGCACCCUCCCCACAAGACUUUCCAGAUAGUGGGCAUGUCCAGCAUCAAGGGGGAAGUUAAAAGGAAAUAAAAUUAAAUAUUACGAGCACAUUAUAUGAUACACCUUCAGAGUUUAGGAAACUAUAUCAUUCUUUAGAAAGAUAUAUUUUCUUGCUUAUUACACCAACCGCAUAUCCCAAUCACUAUUCACUCAAUCUUAUAUCUCAGCCAAGCAGGCAGACAGAGCAUACACUAGAUCAUCUGCAAUCACAGGAUAAGUGGCAAAGUAAUUUUCAUAUAUGCAAAUUGUUUGGCAUCUUAUUCAUUAUGUCUAUAAAUAGGACCACAUGUCCUCAAACAAAACAGGCCCCACGGGUGCGUCGGCCCACCGGGAAUCUUCCCUGUAGGCUCUAUGGCCAAUCCGCCUCUGGCUACAAUGGUAAUGUAAUAAUCAUCAUCUUUUAUGGACAGUACUGUUAGAGCAGAAUAUUUAUUCAGUUUUAUACUGUAUUUCCAAAACCUUCGUAUUUGCAUACCUUCCAACAUCUAGAAAUACAGAGUUGAGACUUCUUGCACGCUAAAAGGAGCAUGCUCCCGACAAGGGGGCGUGUCCUCAGCAAAAUGACACAUGGCUUCACAGGAAUGCCACUAUCACGAACCACGCCCCCUGUUUUGUGUCAAUGCGAGGGCAUGCCCAGCGCUCUUUUCAGCUGCUGGCAUGCCCUCAGUCCCUCUGCCUCCCAUGAAUAGAUGCUGUGCACAGCAUUCAUUCACCGCAGAGCUGAGAGUAACAGGUGGCCUCCCAACUGCCCCCCACCCCACCCCACCACCACUGCGGGGCACUGCAAACUACAGGUGGGACAGAAAUACAGUCCCAAACAAAGUAACUUUCCCAAGAAACACAGGACAGUUGGGAGGUAUGGAUUUGCACAUUAUACAUUAUUACUGGGAUUACAUGUUAUCCUCUUCUACUACACCCUCACAAUCUGCAUUACUGCACUGUGUAUAAGUAAUGAGGAUUUUACAAUGAAACACAGAGAGAAACGAGUACCAUUACUCAUAUUGCAGCAUAGCCACAAACGAUCUAGCUUUUAAUGGAACAAUACAAUUUUUUUUUUUUUAUUAACCAUUGACAAAAGGUGGGUGGGCAGUACAAACCGGGGCAUGACAGAGAGGUUAGAAUAAGUAGUGGGGGAAAUGUUAAAAUAAAAAUAUGAACAAGCAAUAAUAUUGCGGAAUAUGUAUAAGCGAUAUAUAUGACUUUAAGGAGGUGACGUCAGAUAACUGAAACAGAGAAAUCUGAGGUUUAUCGGAGCAAUGGCGAACCCUGAAUGCCUAGCACAGCAAUGAUAUUAAAUUGUUGCCCGUUCAUUCCAUGUCCGCCGAUGCCACCAAAACAAACUGUAAGUGCUUUAGUCACUGCACAUGCCUCUGUACUAAACCAUAAUAAAUCUAGGCAUGUUGGCUAAACUCUCAGCUACAGGUAAUGAGUUAAGUAGAUGAAGUGAGGCCGCUAGCAGAGAAUAAUUAGUAAUCUUUCCUGCACCUGCUCCCUUUAUGGAAGACAGGUGAGCAGAGAUAAGAGCCGUCUGCCAAGGUCAAUGCAGACUGUUCCCCAGAGCAGAGGGUGUUGCAAUGCUGCAGUGGCACAAUGCGGGAAGUUACUGUCCGGCCUUAACACAAACACUGCAUUUUAUACUACAUAUUUUUUUACAUAACAGACAUUUCUAGCAGAUGCUUUCCUUACUAAAGGUAUGAGCUGUCAGGAUUGCUGGAGCUGUAACACAAGCACACAAACACUGAUUUAUUGAUAGUUCCUCCAUCUCCUAUUCAUUUAUUACAUUUAACAGAUUAUCCACAAUCACAGCUGUGAGGUUUGCUUGUGCGAUAAAAUGUGUGGAAGCUAAAGGACAACCGUGGAGCAACACUGUCCUCCAGUGGUCAUUUGUAGUAGCUGGAAAGAAAUGUAGGACUGUUUGAAAUCAACUGCUCUUCAUGAAUGAGACAGAAUCUGAAGGAGCAAGGGUUCCGGUAUGAAUGGUCGACCGUGUUAUGGUCGACAGUCAUUAGGUCGACCACUAUUGGUCGUCAUUGACAUGGUCGACAUGGACACAUGGUCGACACAUGAAAGGUCGACACAUUAAAAGGUCGACAUGAGUUUUUUAACUUUUUUCUCUUUUGGGGAACUUUUCCAUACUUUACGAUCCACAUGGACUACGAUUGGAACGGUAAAGUGUGCCGAGCGAAGCGGUAGCGGAGCGAAGCACCAUGCCCGAAGCAUGGCAAGCGAAGCGAGCCAUGCAAGGGGACGCGGUGCACUAAUUGGGGUUCCCAGUCACUUUACGCAAAAA